CGGAGGGGGCUAGCGUUACUCGGAAUUAUUGGGCGUAAAGGGCGCGUAGGCGGUCGUGUGCGUCAGAGGUGAAAUCCCCCGGCUUAACCGGGGAGCUGCCUCUGAUACGGCAUGGCUUGAGUCCGGGAGAGGAGAGCAGAAUUCCCAGUGUAGCGGUGAAAUGCGUAGAUAUUGGGAGGAAUACCGGUGGCGAAGGCGGCUCUCUGGACCGGUACUGACGCUGAUGCGCGAAAGCGUGGGUAGCAAACAGGAUUAGAUACCCUGGUAGUCCACGCCGUAAACGAUGGGUGCUUGGUGUCGGGGGUAUCGACCCCUCCGGUGCCGAAGCUAACGCAUUAAGCACCCCGCCUGGGGAGUACGGUCGCAAGGCUG
rnacentral:rRNA from 1 species